rnacentral:rRNA from 1 species
AUUGAACGCUGGCGGCAGGCCUAACACAUGCAAGUCGAGCGGAUGAAGGGAGCUUGCUCCUGGAUUCAGCGGCGGACGGGUGAGUAAUGCCUAGGAAUCUGCCUGGUAGUGGGGGAUAACGUCCGGAAACGGGCGCUAAUACCGCAUACGUCCUGAGGGAGAAAGUGGGGGAUCUUCGGACCUCACGCUAUCAGAUGAGCCUAGGUCGGAUUAGCUAGUUGGUGGGGUAAAGGCCUACCAAGGCGACGAUCCGUAACUGGGCUGAGAGGAUGAUCAGUCACACUGAAACUGAGACACGGUCCAGACUCCUACGGGAGGCAGCAGUGGGGAAUAUUGGACAAUGGGCGAGAGCCUGAUCCAGCCAUGCCGCGUGUGUGAAGAAGGUCUUCGGAUUGUAAAGCACUUUAAGUUGGGAGGAAGGGCAGUAAGUUAAUACCUUGCUGUUUUGACGUUACCAACAGAAUAAGCACCGGCUAACUUCGU